rnacentral:rRNA from 1 species
UACGUAGGGCGCAAGCGUUAUCCGGAAUUAUUGGGCGUAAAGAGCUCGUAGGCGGUUUGUCGCGUCUGCCGUGAAAGUCCGGGGCUCAACUCCGGAUCUGCGGUGGGUACGGGCAGACUAGAGUGAUGUAGGGGAGACUGGAAUUCCUGGUGUAGCGGUGAAAUGCGCAGAUAUCAGGAGGAACACCGAUGGCGAAGGCAGAUCUCUGGGCCAUUACUGACGCUAAGGAGCGAAAGCGUGGGGAGCGAACAGG